rnacentral:rRNA from 1 species
AGAUGAUCAGGUUGAUAGGUCUGAGGUGGAAGUGUGGCGACACAUGGAGCUGACAGAUACUAAUCGAUCGAGGACUUAACCUA